GACGAACGCUGGCGGCGUGCCUAAUACAUGCAAGUCGAACGAACCGCGACCGAGUGCUUGCACUUGGUCAAGGUGAGUGGCGAACGGGUGAGUAACACGUGGGUAACCUACCUCAUAGUGGGGGAUAACAGUCGGAAACGACUGCUAAUACCGCAUAGGACAUGGAAUCACAUGAUUCUGUGAGGAAAGGUGGCGCAAGCUAUCGCUAAGAGAUGGACCCGCGGUGCAUUAGCUAGUUGGUAGGGUAACGGCCUACCAAGGCGAUGAUGCAUAGCCGACCUGAGAGGGUGAUCGGCCACAUUGGGACUGAGACACGGCCCAAACUCCUACGGGAGGCAGCAGUAGGGAAUCUUCCGCAAUGGACGCAAGUCUGACGGAGCAACGCCGCGUGAGUGAAGAAGGUCUUCGGAUCGUAAAGCUCUGUUGUUAGAGAAGAACAGCGCAUAGAGUAACUGUUAUGCGUGUGACG
rnacentral:rRNA from 1 species